rnacentral:rRNA from 1 species
GAUGAACGCUGGCGGCGUGCCUAAUACAUGCAAGUCGAGCGAACAGACGAGAGUGCUUCCACUCUCUGACUUUCGCCGCGGGCGUGUGUGUAACACGGAUAUAAUCUAUCUAUAAGACUGAUAAAUCCUCGAGAAACCGGAGCUCACCCCGUAAUAUAUUUAACCUCGCAUUUAGCAAUAGUAAGACACUGUUGUUCUGUCUCUUAUAGAUAGACCCGCGGUGUAUUAGCUAGUUGGUGAGGUAACGGCUCACCAAGGCAACGAUACAUAGCCGACCUGAGAGGGUGAUCGGCCACACUGGGACUGAGACACGGCCCAGACUCCUACGGGAGGCAGCAGUAGGGAAUCUUCCGCAAUGGACGAAAGUCUGACGGAGCAAUGCCGCGUGAGUGAAGAAGGUUUUCGGAUCGUAAAACUCUGUUGUAAGGGAAGAACAAGUAUGUUAGUAACUGAGCGUACCUUGACGGUACCUUAUCAGAAAGCCACGGCUAACUACGUG